rnacentral:rRNA from 1 species
GNNAUUUUCUNAUGGGGGNANCCUUGAGGNGCGACCCCCCNUGGAGGNUGAAGGUCUUCGGAUUGUAAACUCCUGUCAUUAGGGAACAAUGUGCGGUUGUUAACUGCAAUCGUAUUGAUAGUACCUGAAGAGGAAGAGACGGCUAACUCUGUGCCAGCAGCCGCGGUAAUACAGAGGUCUCAAGCGUUGUUCGGAUUCAUUGGGCGUAAAGGGUGCGUAGGUGGCGCUGUAAGUCAGGUGUGAAAUCUCGGGGCUCAACCCCNAAACUGCACUUGAUACUGCGGUGCUUGAGUACUGGAGAGGAGAUUGGAAUUUACGGUGUAGCAGUGAAAUGCGUAGAUAUCGUAAGGAAGACCAGUGGCGAAGCCGAAUCUCUGGACAGUUACUGACACUGAGGCACGAAGGCUAGGGGGAGCAAACAGGAUUAGAUACCCUGGUAGUCC